rnacentral:sRNA from 1 species
GGAAGGAUCAUUAUUGAAAUAAACCUGAUGGGUUGUUGCUGGUUCUCUAGGGAGCAUGUGCACACCUUGUCGUCUUUAUAUCUCCACCUGUGCACCUUUUGUAGACCUUUCAGGUCUAUGUUGCCCCAUUUACCCCAAUGUAUGUUAAUAGAAUGUUGUGACUAUAUAAUAUAUACAACUUUCAGCAACGGAUCUCUUGGCUCUCGCAUCGAUGAAGAACGCAGCGAAAUGCGAUAAGUAAUGUGAAUUGCAGAAUUCAGUGAAUCAUCGAAUCUUUGAACGCACCUUGCGCUCCUUGGUAUUCCGAGGAGCAUGCCUGUUUGAGUGUCAUUAAUAUAUAUAUAUCAACCCUUCUCUUGUUGAAUGGUUUGGAUGUGGGGGUUUGCUGCGCCUCUUGAAGGGUUCAGCUCUCCUGAAAUGCAUUAGCAGAACAAACCUUGUUCAUUGGUGUGAUAACUAUCUACGCUAUUGAAUGUUAGGGGCAGUUCAGCUUUCUAACAGUCCUUGGACAACUCAUCAUUAAUGUGACCUCAAAUCAGGUAGGACUACCCGCUGAACUUAAGCAUAUCAAUAAGCGGAGGAAAAGAAACUAACAAGGAUUCCCCUAGUAACUGCGAGUGAAGCGGGAAAAGCUCAAAUUUAAAAUCUGGCGGUCUUUUGGCUGUCCGAGUUGUAAUCUAGAGAAGUGUUAUCCGCGCUGGACCGUGUACAAGUCUCCUGGAAUGGAGCAUCAUAGAGGGUGAGAAUCCCGUCUUUGACAUGGACUGCCAGGGCUUUGUGAUGCGCUCUCAAAGAGUCGAGUUGUUUGGGAAUGCAGCUCAAAAUGGGUGGUAAAUUCCAUCUAAAGCUAAAUAUUGGCGAGAGACCGAUAGCGAACAA